rnacentral:rRNA from 1 species
AUAGAAGGUGCAACCUGCUCAGUGGCUGCAAAUAAAUAAAUUAAAUACAGUUAUAUAGCCGCGGUAACUCUGACCGUGAUAAAGUAGCAUAAUCACUUGUCACCUAAUUAGUGAAUAGAAUGAAUGGUUAAACGAAUCCUACACUGUCUCAAUAAGAAAUCCUAUAAAAUUGGAAUUGUAGUGAAGAUACUACAUUAAGAUUGCAAGACGAAAAGACCCUAUUGAGCUUUACUGGAUGCUUACAAAAACCCAAAAAAAUAACAAAUAUAUUAGUUCUAUAUUGUAAGUAAGACAGUUUGGUUGGGGCGACCACCUCUAAAAAAGUAACAGAGGAGAUCUGAAGGUAAUUUUUAUGAAUAAUUACUUAACUGAAACAAUUAUAAUUUAAACAGAUACAAUUCAUAGGACAUAAUGACCCGUUAUAUUACAAUUUUAAAUAUAACGACUACAGAAAAAGUUACCAUAGGGAUAACAGGGUAAUAUUUUCUAAGAGUUCUGAUCGACGAAAAUGUUUGCCACCUCGAUGUUGAAUUAUGAUAUCCUAGGGGUGCAG